ACAGCACCAAAGCCGCGAUGCUCACUCCGCACAGGCGUCCGCGCCAUCCUCGUGAGCGGGCCAAGGUCUGAGUAUUCCAGCCCCCUCGACCGGCUCUAGCAGGGCCCGACCUCAACGGGUCGAGCGACACACCAGAAACACGGCCGCCCCCGCGCACGCCCGACGACGCGCUAUCUUGUGCCCACGGUCCGCGUGCCCGCGCGGGAAAAUGCAGAGGGCCGCCGCGGUGCCCCGCCGGGCUUGCUCAACUGGGGAUUUGGUGGUCUUGGGAUAUGUCGUGGGGCAGGGUGCCGCGCCGGCACGCUGCGCGAUGCAUCUCGCCCGCCCAGUGUGUGUAAAAGCAUACACGCUCUUUGGUCCCUUGGUAGCUAACACGCUAUAUACAAUGUGACCGUGCGUGCUUCCUGGGCGGGCGGAGUAUCAGGGCGCGUGCGCGGGUGCGGUGUCCUUCAGUGCACUUCGCGGCUCGCGGGCGACGCUCUUGGGCGCGCCAGCGAAACUCGAUUCAGACUACUCUAGUGCUGU
rnacentral:RNase_P_RNA from 2 species